AUUGAACGCUGGCGGCAGGCUUAACACAUGCAAGUCGAGCGAGCGGCGGACGGGUGAGUAAUGUCUGGGACACUGCCUGAUGGAGGGGGAUAACUACUGGACACGGUAGCUAAUACCGCAUACCAUCAGAUGUGCCCAGAUGGGUUUAGCUAGUAGGUGGGGUAAUGGCUCACCUAGGCGACGAUCCCUAGCUGGUCUGAGCGGAUUACCAGCCACACUGGAACUGAGAAACGGUCCAGACUCCUACGGAAGGAAGCAGGGGGGAAGAUUGCACAAGGGGCGCAAGCCUGAUGCAGCCAUGCCGCGUGUGUGAAGAAGGCCUUCGGGUUGGAAAGCACUUUCAGCGAGGAGGCGUUACUCGCAGAAGAAGCACCGGCUAACUCCGUGCCAGCAGCCGCGGUAAUAC
rnacentral:rRNA from 1 species